UCCGCUUGCAAUACCAUAGUUGAUGCCAGAAAUGCCGGCGGCCGCACUUUUGAUGCAUUUGCAAGCUGCUUGCCGGUCUGGUGUUGUUUGGGCGGCGGAGUUGAGAGAUUUUAUGCCGCCGCAGCAACCUGGGGGAACGCCACCAGCACCAUUCCCUGUCAAGUAACCAAUGCAGGGUGCGAGGGAGCUUGUGACUUGACCACAGGUUACGGCCCCUUGAGCCAGGGGUGCACCCACCACCAUGCACAACACCGCCACACAUGCAAGCUUAAGGGACAUUGAGCUAGCCAUAUCGAUUAAUCACAAGAAAAACAAACUUGUAAGGAAAAUGCUUGCUUGGAGUAGUAGUACUAUUGCUGAUUGUCGUGGUUAGGGCUUGAGGGUAGGAGGGUUUUUAUAGCCAAAAGUAGUAGCGGGUGAUGUCUGAAUUUUACUUUCCUAGCUAUUAGGUAAGUUGAGAUUAUCCGAUCCAAACAUUAACACACCACAUUAAAAGUUGAGACCAUUCAAUUAGGUUCAACUGCCAACCUACGUGAUUAUUGUUUUCUUUCAAUACAAUUAAAACCAGCGUCCAUUUGAUUUCACUCAAUCAUGCCUCCACAGCUAGGACUCAAAUAUUGGUUUAACUUUUUUCUAGGUGUUUUCUUAUAAACAUGAGAUUUACAUUUGAUGUAUUUAUAAAUGCAUUUAUUGUCAGAAUGAUACCAUUUUAUUAAAAGUAAUUUGAUUUAUAAUUGUUUGUAUAUAUACUUUUAUAUAUUAAGUCUUUAAUUGAAUUGGUAUUACGAUUCACCCAAGCAUCUAUUUAAUUGAAAAUUUGUUAAAAUAUUCAUAUAACAAAUAUUAAUAUUAAUAUAAAUGUAUUUUUAUUUUUAUUAUAAAUAAAACUAUAAUAAGAUUUAAACUUAUGACUCAUAAAUUUUACUCUUUUUAACUUAACUAUUUCAACUAAAAUUUCAUUUAGUUUUAAUAUAAAUUUUUAUAAAUAUAUUAUUUACAUGAAUUUUCCUUUUCCAGGCGGUAUGCCAUGGAACUAAUAUAAAAUAUAAACAAAUGGUUAUUUUGUUAUUUUCAAUGGAAAAAAAAAACUUCACAAGAUUAGGACACAUGCAUGGUUUUUUUAAUAUAUAUAUAUAUAUAUCAUGCAACAUUCUAAAUCUAUUUAUAGAUUAUUUUGUUGAUUGAAUUUUUAUUUUUUUUUAUUUUGGUAAUUAUAUAAAACUAAAUAUUUUCUUCGCGCAAUGUUAAGAGCAGUUUGAAAUUUAAAAGAAGUGUGGAUUCUAAUAAUAAAUUUAGUUAUCUAAUGUUUACAUAUUUUAUUAAUUUGGUCUUAAAUAUAAAAAUUAAAUUCAACAAAAUUAGCCCUCAAUGUUUACAAAAUUUUUCAUUUUAAUUCAAAUUCUAAAAUAAUCCAAUAAAUUUAGCUCUCAACAUUUACAAAAUGAAAGGAUUUGAUUUUUAAAAUUUUAAUUUUUUUUUUUAAAAACCCAAAACACAAACCUAAAUAAACUGAAAAAGAAGAAGGAAUAAUUAUCAUCACCACGAUCUAAUCUCUCAACUUUAAAAUAAGACUUCAACUUCGGUUUAACCCCAAGACAAGGCGAAACAUUGAAAGUAAGUGCAGCGGAUGCCAUUGAUUCUCCUACCUUUUGGCUAAACACAUAAAUUUGAACAACUUCAUACAUAACUAGCAGCAGUACUAAAAAAUCAUUAAUACUAUAUUUUCAAGUACAAGAAAUUGAAAAAAGAAUCACGGGUAGAGUACAAAAAUGAAAUUUGGUGUGAACCUAGAUUAACAAAACAAGGUUCACGGUUUCUCAAAAACACAAUACUAAAUUUUUAGAAUUUCUUGUGAAGAUCAAGCAAUGAGACAAAUACUGAAAUUGGCAAUGCCUUAAUAGCAAAUAAUAAUUCAAACCAAUGUAGAAAAAAGAUGAAGAAGAAGAAGAUAGGAAAAGAAUUUUUAGUUUACAUUAAAAGCCUUGAAAAGGUAGACCGAUAGGAUUGAUUGUUUUGAAUAUUACUCAACUUUCUCAUUAAUUCUUGUACUAUUAUGGCUAAGUGUGUUUUUAGAUGGUAAUGAAUUUUUUUAAUUGUUAAUAAUUUUUACAAUUAUUACACUUGAUUUGGCAGUUGUUUUUCUUUUUAAUUUACAAAAUUUUAAAAAAUUAAAAAUUUCUAUUUUGUAAAUGCUAAGAGCUAAAUUUAUUAUUAUUUAUUUUAGAAUCUAAACUAAAGUGACAAAUUUUGUAAAUAUUUGGUGUUAAAUUUAUUGGAUUUUUAUAUUUAAAAUCAAAUUGAUAGAAUGUGUAAAGAAAGUUAAUUUUUUUAUUAGACAAAUAAAAAAUAACCCAUUUCAACACUUCCGAAAAAUUUUCAAACGGCCGUUAACAUUUAGUGAUGAAAAUAUUUGAUUUCAUAUAGUUUAAUAAUUAAAAUAAAAAUAAUUAAAAAUUUAGUAAUCAAAGUAAAACACAAGUGAUAUUAUUCUAGUGAUCAUUUCUGUACUUGACCCUAAUUUUUUUUUCAAAACACUGUUAAAAAACGAUUAAUUUCUCGUUUUGGCCGGAGUUAAAAUUUUUAAUAUAUUUGUUUUUAUUAAAUUUAAAAAUUAUAAUUUUACAUAAUAUAUUUUUGAUAGAAUACAUAUGAUAUAAUUUUAAUCAGUGACACCUGUUAAAGCUUGUUAGAUCUCCUGUAUCUCUUUCAAUCUGGUGGUAAAUGAAGCAAUCAAUGAGUAUUACAACCAGCCACAUGUCAUUCAAUUCACAUUAUAUCAAUCUUUUCCCUUUUCUCUCAUUUUGGUAGUUAAUUCCUUUUUUUGUCAUCGAAAUUAUAUUUUUUUCUCAAAUUGAUAAUUUCCUUAAUCCGUUAAGUUUGUUAAAAGAAACCUUAAUCUUAUUUAAAUUAUAUCUUUUUUUUUUUAUUUUGAUACUUAAACAUUUUUGUCACAUGUGGUAUGUAAUUUAUUUUUUCUUAAGUUGUUAGUUUAAUUAUUACUCAAAUAGUUAAGUCUAUUUAAAAAAAGAUAACUAUUUAAAAAUUACCAUAUUCGAACUAGCUAGGCCAUUAGUUCCUGGUUUAAUCAGUUUAUCUAGUUUGAUGAAAUCAAUUAUUAAAAAUUCAUAAAAAUAAAAAUGUUAAAAAAUAGAGAAAACUAGCUCAACUAGUUUUUUUUUUAAGCUCGACUCAAUCAAUCUGUAUCAGUUUGUAGGUUAAUCGGUUCAAGCCCUAUCUCCAAACUAGUAUCCCAGUUGGUUCCUAGUAUUAAGGGUGAGCAAAAUUUGAAUCGACUCGAAAAAAUUUAAAAAAGUUCAAAUUUUGAAUUAUUUGAAUCGAGUUAAUCGAAUCAACUCGAUUUUUUUUUAAUUUCAAGUUCGAGUCGAGUUGAGUUUUUGAAUUCAAAUGACUCGAAUAAUUCGAUUAAGCCGAAUACCAAACUAUAAUAUUUUACAUUUUACCUCAAACCCCAAACCCUUUUACUUUUCCCCCAAAACUUUACUCAUUCCUCCUUGUCUGCCCCUGUAACGCCCCAAAUUUUGAAUUGUUACUGUUAGUUUCUAUUUAUAAGUAAGUAUUUGCUUCAGUGGUUAAGUGUUAUGUGUUGGUGUUUGGAUCGGGGGUUCAAGUUACACUUUUAGAGAAUUUUAUUAUUCUUUUGUUUCAACUCUUAUCCUUGAAUGCUUGAAUUAAGUUUGUAUCUGCAUUAAUUUGUGUCAAGAAUGAGUCUUCUAGUUUAAUGGUUAAGUUUUGUAUUACCUAUGGUCUCGUGUUCGAGUCUCUGCGUAGGCAAUAAAGAAAUAUUUUGGCAUGCUAUCGGGAAAUCAGUUUUAUUUUAAUAAUUAUUUUUAUUUAAAACUUAUUUUUAGUUUUUUUUAUUUUGGUUCUUCUCCUUCCUUACUGUUCAUUUCCUUCUUCUUUUUUCUCCUUUUGUAACACCCCUAACUCGAAUCCGUCGCUGGAACAGGGUUAGGAGUAUUAUUGAAGUUUACAAUUUAAACAGGCAGAAAAAUUAAACAUUUCAUAACAUAUAGCAUUCAUGUUAGAAACCAAUCAUAAUUAUGCAUAUUGUCCCUAAUACGAGCCCUCGAGGCCCAAAAUACACCUUAGAAAUAAUUCGGGACUAAAUUGAAAAUUCGGAGCAUUUUUUAGAAACUUAUAAAAUUUUUAAAACUACAGGGGUCACAUGGCCGUGUGGCUAGGUUGUGUGACUCAUAUGGCCAACAGACACGCCCAUGUCUUAGACCGUGCGGGUAUUCGAAAUAGGGACACACGGUCGUGUCCCAGCCAGUGUCCAUGCCCGUGUAACUCACUAACUUGGGCCACACGGUCAAGCCAUACGCCCGUGUGCCAGGCAUUGUGAGCAUACUAACUUGCAUUCUUUAAAAGAUACAGGGGACACACGGCCAUGUCACCUGACCGUGUGUGACACACGCCCGUGUCUCUGCCCGUGUGGACAAAAAUAGGCUAUUUUUCAAGUCAUAAAUAUUCAUGUAUUCUUUAAAAGAUACAGGGGACACACGCCCGUGUCUCUGCCCGUGUCUCUGCCCAAUUUGGUACCAACCUAAACACAACAAUUUGCAUAUAACCAAGUCAUAAAUAGGCAUCCAAAACCAGCCAAAAUCAAGCUUAAAACAUGUAAUAUCAUCACAUACAACCAAUAUGCCCUUAGGCACCUCAAAUGACAACUUAUAAUAUUAAUAUUCAUGUAUUCAAUAUAGCCAAAUGUAUAACUCACUUAUAUGCAUAUUUUCAUCCAAAGUUUAUUAAGCAAAUUUACAUCAUUUCUUACCAAAUUACUUACCUUCCAAAACAUAUUAUUUGGUGCUAAAAUGUAUUUAACAUACUAACAUAUUUAACUUAUAUGCCUUACAUAUCCAGACACCAAUUCAUGAUCAAUUCUUCACAUUCCAAAACACAUAUAUGAAAUGCACAUUAGGUUACCUUUUUACCACUCUUUAUUCAAUCAUGAACCAAACUACAUGUCAACCAUAAUAAGCAAAAUAUGCACAUAUCCAAAAUUCCAUAACACAAACAAAACAAAUGGCUAAUCUCAACAAAACACAUAUAAGCCAACAUUGGCCAAACUAAUCUAUACAUGCCAUUAUAACCGAAAUUAAACAACCGAAUGUACCAAAAGAGCCAAUGGAUAGUGUGAUAUAGCUCCGACAAGCUUUCAACCAGAACGAGCUUUCGAAUCACUAAAAACACAGAAAAUAACACAGAGUAAGCAUUCAAGCUUAGUAAGUUCAUAUAGCAUAUAAUUUAACUUACCAUUUAGUCACAUUUAAGGUAAGCAUACAAAACAUAUCCAAACUCAAUUAGGAUAAAAGCCUCAACACAUAUCCUCAUCAACCAUGUUAGUCAUGUAAUUCAUAUAAAUAUCAAGAAACAUGUAUGAGCUCAACAAUAAUCAAACUUGCAUGUACAUAUAAUUUCCACAUCAUGUAUUUACAUAUCAUGUACAAAUCAUUUUCAUAUAUCUCAUGUAAAUACAUGUAGUAGUUUGUAUUGAACUCAUGUAAUAUCAUAACAGAACAGUGCCCGUUGAACCAUUUAGAUUAUUGUUGGAUACGCGGAUAGUACACAUGAGGUGUACUGAACUGUAAUUCAUCAAUUCAUGUACAUGUAUGCUCAUAUGAGCUAUAAACAGUAAGCUCCUCUGAGAUGAAUAACAAUAAGCUUGUACGAGCUGAAUAUCGGUAAGCUCAUAUGAGCUGAGUAUCGGUAAGCUCAUAAGAGCUGAAAUCGAUAACCCUAAUGACAUGUUUACCAAGCCAUGACAUUCCACUAACACAUUUAACCUUUAAAAUUAUUUCAAUUUACAAGUUUAAGAAAGAACAUAAAAGAUGAUACUUGGCUUUAUUUUACUAAAUUUUGUUAUUUACUUAAUUACUUAUUUAACCUUUAAAAUCAUUUCAAUUUACAAGUUUACUAAGCCAUGACAUUCCACUAACACAUUUAAGGGUUAUUUACCAUAUAAGGACCUCUACUUUAAAUUUUUAUAGCUAUUUAAUACCUUUAGCUAUUAGAACUUUACUUUUACACUUUACGCGAUUUAGUCAUUUUUAUCAAAUUGAACAUGUAAACGGUAAAAUUUCUUAACGAAAUUUUCAUAUGGUAAUAUUAUCAUGUUUUCGACCAUAAAAUAAUAAUAAAAUAAAAUUUUUUACUUCAUAUUUGUGGUCCCAAAACUACUAUUCUGAUUUCACUGAAAAUGGGUUGUUACACCUUUCUUGCUUGAUUGCUUCCGUAAGUUUGCUAUCGUGCUUAAUUGGGCAUUCUGUGUGGUUUCUUACAUUGAUUGCAAGGAUAUUGCGUAAGUUAUGUUGUUGUUUUUUACCUAUUUUUUCUAGACUUCGUCUGUUUCGUCGAGGUUAGAUAUUACUGUUAAUGGUUGUAAAAUCUCGUUAAUAGUUCCAAUGGAUCUUCUUUUAGGAAAAGGUUUCAAAAGUAACAUUUCCCUGUGAGAUUAGGUCCGAAUUGUUGUUGCUUGCUUGUCAGUAAUUGAAAAUUUCUAUUUUGGAUAGCUGCGUCGAAGUUUUCGACGAACGUUAGUUUUGAGUGCUAAUUUUGGCAUUUUGAGUUGAUUUAGUCAUUUAAUUCGUCAAUUAAUUGUCGUUUUAGGUUUCAGAUUCUUGUGUGUUGCUUCUACAUCGAAACUACAUCAAGUGUGUAACGAAAACUCAUUUUUCUAUGAUUUACGAAUGCUAGAAAACAUGGCUGUUAAUCACACGACCGUGUGUUAGGCCAUGUAACUUACUGUUUAUGUAUUAAAGUCACCGAGCCAAGGACGUGGGCGUGUGUCCUAGUCGUGUAACUUACUAUUUGUGGAUUGGAGUCACACAGGCUAGGGACACGUUUGUGUGUCCAGACUGUGUGAAGGAAAUUUUAUGAAUUGAGUCACACAAGCGUGUGCUUGACUAUGUCAUAGACCGUGUAACUCACUUUUUUGAGCCACACGAUCGUGUGCCAGGCCGUGUGAUAGAUCGUGUGCUACACGGGCCAGCCUUCCGGGACAUGUGAAUCCACACAAGUGUGUGGGUCAAAAUUUCAAAUUUUUUAUUAGGGCCGUAAACAUCAUUCCAGUCAAACGUAGGCCUACUGUAGGGUCUGGAUGAUCUGAUUUGGGUUAUAAAACCCAUUGACUAGUUAUCUGUUUCUGUAUAAACUGUUAUUUUAUAUACAUCAUAGAAUUGUAAACUAGAGAGUAGUUGUAUUCUGUAUUAAUUGAGUAUAACCUGAAAUUUGUAACAUCGUAUGCUUAUAUCUGUAUCUGUAACAUUGCAUCUGCAUUGGGGUUGGGAUUGAAUAAGGAGGAAGUUAUGGCAGUUAAAUAAUCUGCUAAGACUGGUGGCUAAGACACGUAAAUGUAUCUAAUUUUGGUGACUUUCGCAUUCUGUCCUAGCAAUUAGUCUGCAACCUUUUGAACGUGACAUAUGGUCACUAUGUGGUGUGUAGGGACGAUACCCUUUUUGGUGUGUAGGGUUGGAUGCAGAUGGUGUGUAAUUGACAUAUUCUACUCUAUUUCCGUAUAUAAUUCUGAGAACUGUUCUAACUUUAAGAAAUUGAAGAUCUAUUUUGUUGUUUCACUUAAUAAUAAUAUAAGUUAUACGCUAUGUAUAACACCCUUUACCCGAGACCGUGGUCGGAGUCGAGCAUGAGGUGUUACUUGACUUAACUUAAAAGUUCAGGGCAUAAAAAUUUACUUUCAAAAUUAAUUUCACCAUUCACAAUAAAGUUGUCCACCUGAGCAGCAGUCACUAAAUUAAUUAUAACUCAAGCUAAGAAACUCGAAAUUUAGAUUCGUAAAUUUUCCCUGAAACUAGACUCAUAUAUCUAUUCACAAAAAUUUUUCAGAAUUUUUUAUUUGACCAAUUAGUACAGUUUAUUAGUUGAAGUCUCCCCAGUUUCACUAAUCGACUAUCCUGACCUCUCGUCACUAAAAUUCAAUUAUCUCAUUAUACAGACUUGACAUGCUGAUUCCACUUAUUUAUACUUAAAAUAUACUCAUUAAGGAAUUUAAAAAUAUAAUUUAUAACUCAUAAUUCUAUUUGUACAAUUUUUAAUGAAUUUCUAAAGUCAGAACAGGGGACUUCAGAAUCAUUCUGACUCUGUCUCACUAAAAUUAAAAUAUCUAAAAGUAUAUAACUCUUUUGCUUACUCUAUUGCUUUCAUGUGAAAGUAGACUCAUUCAGAUUUAAUUUCAUCUCUCGCUAAACAUAUAAUUCUAUUUCUACAAUUUUUGGUAAUUUUUCAAAGUUACAUCAAUGCUGCUGCCCAAAAAUAGUUCCAUUGAAAUUUUUAAAAAAAAAUUCAAUAUAACCCCUUUAUAAUUAUCUAACCUUCCCUGCAAAUUUCAAAUCACAACCAAUUUCAGUAUUUCAACUACUUCACUUAAAUACUAAUGAAGUUCAACUAAUCAACCAUUUCAAACUAAAAACAUGUAUAGUUCAAUGUUUAACACAACCAUCACAUUCAAAUUUAUUCAUUCUAUUACUUUUUACUUCAAUUCCCUAUACAUGUCAUAUAAAUCCAAAAAGUUGUUUAACAAAAUCUACAGGAGUAAAUCUGGAUAGUGUGAUUCUUGGUGUAGAUCUGAUCCUCCGAAUGUAUAAAUACGUCAAUCUACAAGAAUCAAUAAACACACAAUUAAGCGUAUAGAAAGCUUAGUAAGUUCAUAGGCACCAAACAUAAAUCUUACCAAACAUUUAUACACUUAUACAUUAUACACCAUUACUAAGUUUACCUGUCAACCACAAUCUUUGGUGAGUUCCUUGGUAUAAACUCACUACUACUUAUUCUUUUACCAUAAUUCCUUUGGGCCCAUUUGUCACUUACCAUCCUUGAUCAAAAUUAAGGAACGGUUACGGAAAAUUGAGUACUUCACUUUCACUUUGCCAUAGUAUAACUAUGGUCUUACGUAUGAUCAAACAUCACUUGUCCUUGAUAAGAUAAGUGUAGCUAGGCAACCACUUAUCACUUUGUCACUUGAUCAGAUAAGUGCAGCUAAAGCUACCAUUUAUCACUUUAUCACCACUUAUCACUUGUUCUUGAUUAGAUAAGUGUAGCUAAAGUUACCACUUAUCACUUUGUCACCACUUAUCACUUGUUCCUAAUCAGAUAAGUGUAGCUAAAACUACCACUUAUCACUUUGUCACUUGAUCAGAUAAGUGUAGCUAAGCUAUCACUUAUCACUUUGUCACUUGAUCAGAAGUACUCAAAUCCGGUGUUCUGCUCAAUUUGAUCAUUUAUUCAGUUUUCACAUUUUUAUUUUAUUCUCAUUUCAUCAAUAAAUAUAUAUAUUUCAUCAUACAUUAUAUAAUUCAUGAAAUUAACAUUUAAUCAUUAAAUUUUAGCCAUAUGAACUUACCUGGGUUGAUUUGCUGAAUUUGUAAAAGUUUAGGGACUAAUCAGCUACUUUUUUUUUCCUCGACUUGUUUCGGGUUCUCAAUAUGAUUCAAAUAUAUGAAAAACCAACUUGGAGGGACUCUUCAAUGGUGUUUUUUGCUAAAAAAUAUGAGGAAUUGCCUAGAAACACUUUUAGUUAAGAUUUUUAUUUGUUAUUUUUUACAAAAUUUCCAAUUUUGCCCUUAUUACAUCACUUUUUCAAAUUUUUCUUCUCUUAUGUCGUCUCAACUAUUCCAUAUUGGCAUAUUUAUGCCUUAAGUCCCUCCUUAUUUACCACUUAAGCUAUUUAAUCACUUUUAACAAAUUUUACAUUAUUUUCAGUUUAAUCCUUUUUAAUUAAUUAACCACCCAAACGUUAGAAUUUUCUAACGAAAAUUUAAUACCAACUCAAUGACACUCCAUAAAUGUUUCUAAAAAUAUUUAUGGCUCGAUUUAUGAGGUUGAGGUUUCAAUACCUCAUUUUCGAUUCUAAUUAUUUUAAUAUUUAUUCUUAGUACAUUAUUCACUAUUUCAAAAAUUUUCCUAACUUCGCAUUUAACUUAUACUCACUAAAUUAAUAAUAUUUUCUACUCAUUUGUCAAAUUUAAUGAUCUCGAAUUACCAUUCCGACACCACUGAAAAUUCAGGCCAUUACAACUCUCCCCCCAUUUUGGAAAUUUCAUCACCGAAAUUUCGUACCUGAAAAUAAAUUCGGAUACUGAAAUCUCAGCAAUUCCUCUGUUUCCCAGGUUGCCUCCUCAGAUCCAUGUCGAUUCCAUAACACCUUAACUAGUGGUACAUGUUUAUUCCUCAACUCUUUAACCUUCUGAGCUAAAAUUUUCACCGGUUCCUCUGAAUAAGUCAUGUCAGGUUGAAGCUCUAUUUCCGUAUGAGGAAUUACAUGUGAUGGAUCUGAUCUGUACCGUCUCAACAUAGACACAUGAAACACAUUAUGAAUCUUUUCAAGUUCCGGGGGCAAAGCUAAUCUAUAGGUUACCGGACCGAUUCUUUCAAUGAUUUCAUACGGCCCGAUAAAUCGUGGGCUGAGUUUCCCCUUUUUGCUGAACCGCAAAACUUUCUUCCACGGUGACACUUUCAAAAAUACACGAUCACCCACAUUAAACUCUAUAUCCCUUCUCUUCAAAUUUGCAUAUGAUUUUUGCCGAUCGGAGGUAGCUUUUAAACAAUCUCGAAUAAUACGAACUUUUUCUUCAGUUUCCUGAGUCAAUUCCACUCCCACUAGUUUCGAUUCACUUAAUUCAGACCAAUAUAAUGGAGUUCUACACUUUCUUCCAUACAAAGCUUCAAACGGUGCCAUUUUAAUGCUAGUUUGAUAACUAUUAUUAUAAGCAAAUUCGGCUAAAGGUAAAUACCUUUCCCAGCUACCGCCGAACUCAAGUAUACAACACCUUAACAUAUCUUCUAAAAUCUGAAUCACUCGCUCUGACUGCCCAUCUGUCUAGGGAUGAAAAGCUGUGUUGAAAUUUAAUUUGGUGCCUAAAGCUUCCUGUAAUUUACUCUAAAAUCUCGAGGUAAAUCUCGGAUCUUGAUCUGAAAUAAUAGAUGUCGGUACCCCAUGUAACCUCACUAUCUCAGACACAUAUAACUCCGCUAACUUUUCAAGCUGAUAAUCUGCUCUGACUGGAAUAAAAUGUGCUGACUUAGUUAACCGAUCAACAAUCACCCAUAUUGAAUGUUUCUUCUUCAGAGUUACUAGUAAUCCAGAUACAAAAUCCAUCGUAACAUGUUCCCAUUUCCAAUCUGGAAUCAUAAUGGGCUGUAACAACCCUGUCGGCACUUGAUGCUCAGCUUUCACCUGUUGACAGAUCAAACAUCUUGCUACAUACUCAAAGAUUUCCCGUUUCAUUCCGGGCCACCAAUACAUUUUCUUCAAAUCACAAUACAUUUUUGUACUACCCGGGUAAAUAGAACACAUACUACUGUGAGCCUCUGAUAAAAUAUCAUUUUUCAAGUUUAAAUUAUUCGGAAUACAUAUUCUAUUACGAUAAUAUAACAUACCAUUUUCAUCAAUGGAGUAUUCUGAGCUUAACUUAUCUUGAACCAUCUGUCGCUUUAUCAUCAAUUUUGGGUCAUCAUCCUAUAACUCCCGAAUCCGUUGAAAGAACACGGGUUUAGCCUUUAAUUCUGCUAGUACAGAACCAUCCUCAUUAAUAGAUAAAUGAGCAUUCAAUGCCCGUAGUGCAAAUAAUGAUGAUUUCCGACUAAGCGCAUCUGCUGCGGCAUUUGCUUUCCCUGGGUGAUAGUCAAUGACAAGAUCAUAAUCUUUCAGCAACCCCAACCAUCGUCUCUGUGUCAAAUUUAACUCUUUCUGAGUCAUUAAAUACUUCAAGCUUUUAUGAUCAGUAUACACGUAACAUUUCUCACCAUAUAAGUACUCUCCAUAUCUUCAAAGCAAACACGAUCGCUGCCAAUUCCAAAUCAUGUGUAGGAUAAUUCUUGUCGUGCGGUUUCAGUUGCCAAGAAGCAUAUGCCACCACUUUGCCUGACUGAAUAAGUACACAGCCCAACCCAUUUACAGAUGCAUCACUAUAUACUACAAACGGUACACCCGAUUCUGGUUGAGUCAACACUGGAGCCUCUGUCAACAUCUUUUUCAACUGAUCGAAACUCCGCUGACAUUCAUCUAACCAUAUAAAUUCAACAUUCUUUUGUAGCAAUCGAGUUAACGGUAAGGUAAUCAUUGAGAAAUCUUUGACAAAUCGACGAUAAUAACCUGCCAAUCGUAGAAAACUCUGCACUUCAGUCACAUUCUUCGGAACUUUCCAAUUUAUCACUGCCGCUACCUUACUUGGAUCCACUCUUAUUCCAUCAGCUGAUACAAUAUGACCCAAAAAUGCAACUUCAUGGAGCCAAAAUUCACAUUUGCUGAAUUUGGCAUACAAUUGUUUCUCCCACAAAGUCUGUAAUACAAUCAUUAGAUGUUGUGCAUGUUCGGACUCUGUCUUUGAAUAAAUCAAUAUAUCGUCAAUGAACACAACCACAAAUCUAUCCAAAUAUGACUGAAAAAUUCUAUUCAUCAAAUCCAUAAAAGCAGCAGGGGCAUUGGUUAAACCAAAUGGCAUCACCAAAAAUUCAAAAUGACCAUAUCGAGUUCGAAAGGCAGUUUUCGGCACUUCACACUCUUUAACUUUCAACUGAUAAUACUCGGAUCGAAGAUCUAUCAUGGAAAAUACUGUAGCACCUUUCAACUGAUCAAACAAAUCAUCAAUAUGAGGCAAAGGAUUUUUAUUCUUUACUGUUACCUUAUUCAACUGUCUGUAAUCUAUACACAGUCUUAAAAAACCGUCCUUCAUUUUCACAAACAAGACAGGUGUACCCCAGGGCGACAUACUCGGUCUGAUGAACCCUUUAUCUAAUAACUCCUGCAGCUGCGCCUUCCGUUCUUUUAACUCGACUGGAGCCAUUCUGUAUGGUGUCAUUGAGAUAGGAGUUGUUCCGGGGAUCACAUCAAUUACAAAUUCAACUUCUCUAUCAGGUGGUAGACCGGGUAACUCUUCAGGGAACAUAUCAGGGAAUUCAUUCACCAUUGGCACUUGUUCGAGCUUCAAACCAGAACCCUGAGUAUCCAGGAUAUAGGCCAAGAAUGCUUCGUUGCCUUUGUGUAAUAACCUCUGAGCAGAGAGAGCUAAAAUAAUUCUGACUGUAUCACCCAGAUUUUCAGACCCAACUGAGAUUAUAUCUCCCGUUUGACAUUUCAAACUGAUUUGUUUAUCACGAUAAUUCACUACCGCAUCAUGUCUCAUUAACCAGUCCAUCCCCAGAAUAAUGUCAAAUUCCCGAAAAGGUAACAACAUCAAAUCAGCGAGGAAUUCAUAGCCUUUCACUUUCAGUGGACAAUUACGACAUAUCAAAUUAACCAUCACACUUUGACCUAAUGGGUUUGUGACUUGUAUAUCAAAUUCAGUGGACUCAACAGAUAAUUUCUUUUUAGAUGCUAACAUAGUGCAAAUAUAUGAAUGAGUAGAUCCAGGGUCUAUCAAUGCAUAAACAAUAACAUCAUAAAGAUAGAAAGUACCAGCAAUUACAUCAGGAGCCGUAGCCUCUUUCCUUGCUCGAAUGGCGUAGGUACGUGCUGGUGCUCUAUUCUCUGAUCGACCAACUGAUUCCCUCGUACCCGAACGGGUAGUCCCUGUAGCACUGCUCUGGCCCGAACGUCUACUUUUUUGGGGAAUGGUUCUCUGUAUUUCUUUCUGUUCCACUUCAUCUUUUUACAGUCGGGAACAAUCUCGAAUAAGAUGAUUAGUACCCUCACAUUUUUAACAAGCCCCUAUCUUGGUCCUGCAUUCUCUGAAAUGAUAUCUUCCACAAUAUUGACACUUAGGCCGGGGAGCAUUCUGAACACUGCUCACACUUGCUGGAGGUCUAUCGAAUACCCUGAAAUCAGAUUGUCUUGGUCUAUCUCUACCCGAUCUUCUCGACAGUGAUGUAGUUCGACUAAUUUCUUCUCUAGAUUUGUUCACUGGUAAAUCUAAAAAUGACUUAGAAGCACCUCUUUUGAAUGGCUCUUUACUUUUUCGAUCCCGCUACAUUUUUCUGUUGUAUACUUCUUCGAGCUUUUGAGCACGGUCUGACAGAACAGGGAACUCUCGUAUUUCAUUACCCCCAAUCAUCAUUCUAAUUUCAUCAUUUAACCCUUCUUCAAACCUGAUACACAUUUCUUCUUUAAUAAGUACAAUGUCUCGGGCAUAUUUGCUGAGGUAGACAAAUUCUCUUUCGUAUUCAGCCACUGAUUUAUCUCCCUGGCGUAGGUCGAGAAAUUCCCUUUUAUUUUUAUCCAAAUACCGUCUGCCCACAUAUUUCUUCUUAAAUUCAUUUUGGAAAAAUUCCCAAUAAAUUUUCUCUGUCGGAACCACAUCCUCAAUCGUCUCCCACCAACUAUAAGCUUCUUCUUUCAAUAGAGACACAACACAACUCAAAUAAUCAUCUAGUGAGCAAACCAUUUCUUUAAAAAUUCUUAUUAAACUCUGUAACCAAUAUUCAGCUUUGACGGGAUCUUUAUCAGUCCUUCCCCGAAAUUCUUCGGCUCCAAGUUUUUUAAGCCUUUCCAAUGGAGAACGCUUUCUGGAUUCAGUCGUUGUAAAAGGUGGAGGAGCAACCGGGUGUGCCACCGAUGGAGCAGUAGGGGGAGGAGGUGGUUCAGCCUGAUUUCUUUCUUGCCUCAUUUCAGUAUAUCAUUGAUUCAUAAUCCCAUAAAUCAUAUUCUUUAACUCUUGCUCUCGCAUUUGGGAGAUCGGAACAUCACUGCUUGUUCUUUGUUUAGAAUUAUGUAUUCUACUAUUAACUUCUUCUUUCUCAGUACGUUUAGGUAUAUCUGACAUCUCCAUAACCGGAGAAUAUCUACUAUUAACUUCUUCUUACUGGAUUCAGUCGUUGUAAGAGGUGGAGAAGCAACCGGGGGUACCACCGAUGGAGCAGUAGGCAGAGGAGGUGGUUCAGCCUGAUUUCUUUCUUGCCUCAUUUCAGUAUACCACUGAUUCAUAAUCCCAUAAAUCAUAUUCUUUAACUCUUGCUCCCGUAUUUGGGAGAUCAGAACACCACUGCUUGUUCUUUGUUCAGAAUUAUGUAUUCUACUAUUAACUUCUUCUUGCUCAGUACGUUCAGGUAUAUCUGACAUCUCUAUAACCGGAGAAUAUCUAUAAAAAUAACAAAGAUUAGAUCGCAUCAUACGCAUUACACUAUCACAGAUUUAUAUGGCAUGUAUUUCUAAACACUUUACACUUUACACAUAUUCCGAGAACCGGCUAAACCUGGAUCUGAUACCAAUAAAAUGUAACACCCUUUACCUGAGACCGUUUCCAGAGUCGAGCAUGAGGCGUUACUUGACUUAACUUAAAAGUUCAGGGCAUAAAAAAUUACUUUCAAAAUUAAUUUCACCAUUCACAAUAAAGCUGUCCACCCACGCAGCAAUCUCUAAAUUAAUUAUAACUCAAGAUGCGAAACUCGAAAUUUAGAUCUGUAUAUUUUACCUAAAACUAGACUCAUAUAUCUAUUCACUACAAAAUUUUCAGACUUUUUGGUUUGGCAAAUUAGUACAGUUUAUUAAUUGAAGUCUCCCCUGUUUCACUAAUAGACUAUCCUGACCUCUCGUCACUAAAAUUCAAUUAUCUCAUUAUACAAACUUGACUUGGUGCUUUCAAUUAUUUUUACUUAAAAUAGACUCAUUAAGGAAUUUAAACAUAUAAUUUAUAACUCAUAAUUCAUUUUGUACAAUUUUUAAUGAAUUUCUAAAGUCAAAAUAGGGGACUUCAAAAUCAUUCUGACUCUGUCUCACUAAAAUUCAAAUAUCUAAAAGUAUAUAACUCUUUUGCUUACUCUAUUGCUUUAAUGUGAAAGUAGGCUCAUUCAGCUUUAAUUUCAUCUCUCACUCAACUUAUAAUUCUAAGUCCACAUUUUUGGUGAUUUUUCAAAGUUACAUCAAUACUGCUGUCCAAAAACUGUUCCAUUGAAAUUUUUUUAAAAAAUUUCAAUAUAACCCUUUUAUAAUUAUCUAACCUUCCCUGCAAAUUUUAAAUCACAACCAAUUUCAGUAUUUCAACCACUUCACUUAAAUACUAAUGAAGUUCAACCAAUCAACCAUUUCAAACUAAAAACAUGCAUAGUUCAAUGUCUAACACAACCAUCACAUUCAAAUUUACUUUGCAUAUUUAGAUAUUCAUUCUUUUACUUUUUACUUCAAUUCCCUAUACAUGUCAUAUAAAUCCAAAAAGUUGUUUAACAAAAUCUACCGGAGUAAAUCUUGAUAGUGUGAUUCUUGGUGUAGAUCCGAUCCUCUGAAUGUAUAAAUACGUCAAUCUACAAGAAUCAAUAAACGCACAAGUAGGCUUAAUAAACACACAAGUAAGCUUAUAGAAAGCUUAGUAAGUUCAUAGGCACCAAACAUAAAACUUACCAAACAUUUAUACACUUAUACAUUAUACACCAUUACUAAGUUUACCUGUCAACCACAUUCUUUGGUGAGUUCCUUGGUAUAAACUCACUAAUACUUAUUCUUUUACCAUAAUUCCUUUGGGCCCAUUUGUCACUUACCAUCCUUGAUCAAAAUUAAGGAACGGUUACGGAAAAUUGAGUACUUCACUUUCACUUUGCCAUAGUAUAAAUAUGGUCUUACGUAUGAUCACUUAUCACUUGUCCUUGAUCAGGUUAGUGUAGCUAGGCUACCACUUAUCACUUGUUCCUGAUCAGAUAAGUGUAGCUAAGCUAUCACUUGUCACUUUGUCACUUGAUCAAAAGUACUCAAAUCCGGUGUUCCGCUCAAUUUGAUCACUUAUUCAGUUUGCGCAUUUUUAUUUUAUUCUCAUUUCAUCAAUAAAUAUAUAUAUAUAUUUCACCAUACAUUAUAUAAUUCAUGAAAUUAACAUUUAAUCAUUAAAUUUCAUCCAUAUGAACUUACCUAGGUCGAUUUUCUGAAUUUGUAAAAGUUCAAGGACUAAUCAGCUACUUUUUCUUUUCCUCGACUUGUUUCGGGUUCUCGAUAUGAUUCAAAUAUAUGAAAAACUAGCUUGGAGGGACUCUUCAAUGGCGUUUUUUGCUGAGAAAUAUGAUGAAUUGCCUAGAAACUCUUUUAGUUAAGAUUUUUAUUUGUUAACUUUUACAAAAUUUCUAAUUUUGCCCUUAUUACAUCACUUUUUCAGAUUUUUCUUCUCUUAUGCCGUCUCAACUAUUCCAUAUUAGCAUAUUUAUGCCUUAAGUCCCUCCUUAUUUACCACUUAAGCUGUUUAAUCACUUUUAACAAAUUUUACAUUAUUUUCAGUUUAGUCAUUUUUAAUUAAUUAACCACCAAAACGUUAGAAUUUUCUAACGAAACUUUAAUACCAACUCAAUGACACUCUAUAAAUGUUUCUAAAAAUAUUUAUGGCUCGAUUGAUGAGUUUGAGGUUUCGAUACCUCAUUUUCGACUCUAAUUAUUUUAAUAUUUAUUCUUAGUACACUAUUCACUAUUUCAAAAAUUUUCCUAACUUCGCAUUUAACUUAUACUCACUAAAUUAAUAAUAUUUUCUACUCAUUUGUCAAAUUUAAUGAUCUCGAAUUACCAUUCCGACACCACUGAAAAUUCAGGCCAUUACAACUCUCCCCCCAUUUUGGAAAUUUCGUCCCCGAAAUUUCGUACCUGAAAAUAAAUUCGAAUACUGAAAUCUCAUCAAUUCCUCUGUUUCCCAGGUUGCCUCCUCAGAUCCAUGUCGAUUCCAUAACACCUUAACUAGUGGUACAUGUUUAUUCCUCAACUCUUUAACAUCCCAAGCUAAAAUUUUCACCGGUUCCUCUGAAUAAGUCAUGUCAGGUUGAAGCUCUAUUUCCGUAUGAGGAAUUACAUGUGAUGGAUCUGAUUUGUACCGUCUCAACAUAGACACAUGAAACACAUUAUGAAUCUUUGCAAGUUCCGGGGGCAAAGCUAAUCUAUAGGUUACCAGACCGAUUCUUUCAAUGAUUUCAUACGGCCCGAUAAAUCGUGGGCUGAGUUUUCCCUUUUUGCUGAACCGCAAAACUUUCUUCCACGGUGACAGUUUCAAAAAUACACGAUCACCCACAUUAAACUCUCUAUCCCUUCUCUUCAAAUCUGCAUAUGAUUUUUGCUGAUCGGAGGCAGCUUUUAAGCAAUCUCGAAUAAUACGAACUUUUUCUUCAGUUUCCUGAGUCAAUUCCACUUCCACCAGUUUCAAUUCACUUAAUUUAGACCAAUAUAAUGAAGUUCUACACUUUCUUCCAUACAAAGCUUCAAACGGUGCCAUUUUAAUGCUAGUUUGAUAACUAUUAUUAUAAGCAAAUUCGGCUAAAGGUAAAUACCUUUCCCAGCUACCGCCGAACUCAAGUAUACAACACCUUAACAUAUCUUCUAAAAUCUGAAUCACUCGCUCUGACUGCCCAUCUGUCUGGGGAUGAAAAGCUGUGUUGAAAUUUAAUUUGGUGCCUAAAGCUUCCUGUAAUUUACUCUAAAAUCUCGAGGUAAAUCUCGGAUCUCGAUCUGAAAUAAUAGAUGUCGGUACCCCAUGUAACCUCACUAUCUCAGACACAUAUAACUCCGCUAACUUUUCAAGCUGAUAAUCUGCUCUGACUGGAAUAAAAUGUGCUGAUUUAGUUAACCGAUCAACAAUCACCCAUAUCGAAUCUUUCUUCUUCGAAGUUACUGGUAAUCCGGAUACAAAAUCCAUCGCAACAUGUUCCUAUUUCCACUCUGGAAUCAUAAUGGGCUGUAACAACCCUGUCGGCACUUGAUGCUCAGCUUUCACCUGUUGGCAGAUCAAACAUCUUGCUACAUACUCACAGAUUUCCCAUUUAAUUCCGGGCCACCAAUACAUUUUCUUCAAAUCACAAUACAUUUUUGUACUAACCCGGUGAAUAGAACACAUACUACUGUGAGCCUCUGAUAAAAUAUCAUUUUUCAAGUUUAAAUUAUUCGGAAUACAUAUUCUAUUACGAUAAUAUAACAUACCAUUUUCAUCAAUGGAGUAUUCUGAGCUUAACUUAUCUUGAACCAUCUGUCGUUUUAUCAUCAAUUUUGGGUCAUCAUCCUGUAACUCUUGAAUCCAUUGAAAGAACACGGGUUUAGCCUUUAAUUCUGCUAGUACAGAACCAUCCUCAUUAAUAGAUAAAUGAGCAUUCAAUGCCCGUAGUGCAAAUAAUGAUGAUUUCUGACUAAGUGCAUCUGCUGCGGCAUUUGCUUUCCCUGGGUGAUAGUCAAUGACAAGAUAAUAAUCUUUCUGCAACUCUAACCAUCGUCUCUAUCUCAAAUUUAACUCUUUCUGAGUCAUUAAAUACUUUAAGCUUUUAUGAUCAGUAUACACGUAACAUUUCUCACCAUAUAAGUAGUGUCUCCUUAUCUUCAAAGCAAACACGAUCGCUGCCAAUUCAAAAUCAUGUGUAGGAUAAUUCUUGUCGUGCGGUUUCAGUUGCCGAGAAGCAUAUGCCACCACUUUGCCUGACUGAAUAAGUACACAGCCCAACCCAUUUACAGAUGCAUCACUAUAUACUACAAAUGGUACACCCGAUUCUGGUUGAGUCAACAUUGGAGCCUCUGUCAACAUCUUUUUCAACUGAUCAAAACUCCGCUGACAUUUAUCUGACCAUAUAAAUUCAACAUUCUUUUGUAGAAAUCGAGUCAACUGUAAGGUAAUCAUUGAGAAAUCUUUGAUAAAUCGACAAUAAUAACAUGCCAAUCGUAGAAAACUCCACACUUCAAUAACAUUCUUCGGAACUUUCCAAUUUACCAUUGCCGCUACCUUACUUGGAUCGACUCUUAUUCCAUCAGCUGAUACAAUAUGACCCAAAAAUGCAACUUCAUGGAGCCAAAAUUCUCAUUUGCUAAAUUUGGCAUACAAUUGUUUCUCUCACAAAGUCUGUAAUACAAUCCUUAGAUGUUGUGCAUGUUCGGACUCUGUCUUUGAAUAAAUCAAUAUAUCGUCAAUGAACAACCACAAAUCUAUCCAAUUAUGACUGAAAAAUUCUAUUCAUCAAAUCCAUAAAAGCAGCAAGGGCAUUGGUUAAACCAAAUGGCAUCACCAAAAAUUCAUAAUGACCAUAUCGAGUUUGGAAGGCAGUUUUCGGCACAUCACACUCUUUAACUUUCAACUGAUAAUACCCAGAUUGAAGAUCUAUCUUGGAAAAUAUUGCAGCACCUUUCAACUGAUCAAAUAAAUCAUCAAUAUGAGGCAAAGGAUAUUUAUUCUUUACUGUUACCUUAUUCAACUGCCUGUAAUCUAUACACAGUCUUAGAGAACCGUCCUUUUUUUUCACAAACAAGACAGGUGCACCCCAGGGCGACAUACUCAGUCUGAUGAACCAUUUCUCUAAUAACUCCUGUAACUGCGCCUUCAACUCUUUUAACUCGGCUGGAGCCAUUCUGUACGGUGUCAUUGAGAUAGGAGUUGUUCCGGCGAUCACAUCAAUUACAAAUUCAACUUCUUUAUCAGGUGGUAGACCGGGUAACUCUUCAGGGAACACAUUAGGGAAUUCAUUCACUACUGGCACUUGUUUGAGCUUCAAACCAGAACCCUGAGUAUCCAUGAUAUAGGCCAAGAAUGCUUCGUUGCCUUUGCGUAAUAACCUCUGAGCAGGGAGAGCUGAAAUAAUUCUGACUGUAUCACCCAUAUUUUCAGACCCAACUGAGAUUAUAUCUCCCGUUUGACAUUUCAAAUUGAUCUGUUUAUCACGACAAUUCACUACCGCAUCAUGUCUCACUAACCAGACCAUCCCAAGAAUAAUGUCAAAUUCUCGAAAAGGUAACAACAUCAAAUCAGCGGGGAAUUCAUAGCCUUUCACUUUUAAUGGACAAUUACGACAUAUCAAAUUAACCAUCACACUUUGACCUAAUGGGUUUGUGACUUGUAUAUCAAAUUCAAUGGACUUAACAAAUAAUUUCUUUUCAGAUGCUAACAUAGUGCAAAUAUAUGAAUGAGUAGAUCUAGGGUCUAUCAAUGCAUAAACAAUAACAUCAUAAAGAUAGAAAGUACCAACAAUUACAUCAGGAGCCGUAGCCUCUUCCCUUGCUCGAAUGGCGUAGGUACGUGCUGGUGCUCUAUUCUUUGAUCGACCAACUGAUUCCCUCGUACCCGAACGGGUAGUCCCUGUAGCACUGCUCUGGCCCGAAUGUCUACUUCUUUGGGGAAUGGUUCUCUGUAUCUCUUUCUGUUCCACUUCAUCUUUUUACAGUCGGGGACAAUCUCGAAUAAGAUGAUUAGUAGCCCUACAUUUUUAACAAGCCCCCAUCUUGGUCCUGCAUUCUCCGAAAUGAUAUCUUCCACAAUAUUGACACUUAGGCCGGGGAGCAUUCUGAACACCGCUCACACUUGCUGCAGGUCUAUCGAAUACCCUGAAAUCAGAUUGUCUUGGUCUAUCUCUACCCGAUCUUCCCAACAUUAAUGUAGUUCGACUAAUUUCUUCUCUAGAUUUCUUCACUGGCAAAUCUAAAAAUGACUUAGAAGCACCUCUUUUGAAUGGCUCUUUACUUUUUCGAUCCCGCUGCAUUUUUCUGUUGUAUACUUCUUCGAGCUUUUGAGCACGGUCUGACAGAACAACGAACUCUCGUAUUUCAUUACCCCCAAUCAUCAUUCUAAUUUCAUCAUUUAACCCUUCUUCAAACCUGAUACACAUUUCUUCUUUAGUAGGUACAAUGUCUCGGGCAUAUUUGCUGAGGUAAACAAAUUCUCUUUCGUAUUCAGCCACUGAUUUAUUUCCCUGGCGUAGGUCGAGAAAUUCCCUUUUAUUUUUAUCCAAAUACCGUCUGCCCACAUAUUUCUUCUUAAAUUCAUUUUGGAAAAAUUCCCAAUAAAUUUUCUCUGCUGGAACCACAGCCUCAAUCGUCUCCCACCAACUAUAAGCUUCUUCUUUCAAUAGGGACACAGCACAUCUCAAAUAAUCAUCUGGUGAGCAAACCAUUUCUUUAAAAAUUCUUAUCAAACUUUGUAACCAAUAUUCAGCUUUGACGGGAUCUUCAUUAGUCCUUCCUGAAAUUCUUCGGCUCCAAGUUUUUUAAGCUUUUCCAAUAGAGAACGCUUACUAGAUUCAGUCGUUGUAGGAGGUGGAGGAGUAACCGGGGGUACCAUCGAUGGAGCAGUAGGGGGAGGAGGUGGUUCAGCAUGAUUUCUUUCUUGCCUCAUUUCAAUAUACCACUGAUUCAUAAUCUCAUAAAUCAUAUUCUUUAAUUCUUGCUCUCGCAUUUGGGAGAUCGGAACAUCACUGCUUGUUCUUUGUUCAGAAUUAUGUAUUCUACUAUUAACUUAUUCUUACUUAGUUCGUUCAGGUAUAUCUGACAUCUUUAUAACUGGAGAAUAUCUAUAAAAAUAACAAAGAUUAGAUCGGAUCAUACGCAUCACACUAUCACAGAUUUAUAUGGCAUGUAUUUCUAAACACUUUACACUUCACACAUAUUCCGAGAACCGGCUAAACCGGGAUCUGAUACCAAUAAAAUAUAACACCCUUUACCCAAGACCGUUGCCCGAGUCGAGCAUGAGGCGUUACUUGACUUAACUUAAAAGUUCAGGGCAUAAAAAUUUACUUUCAAAAUUAAUUUCACCAUUCACAAUAAAGCUGUCCACCUGCGCAGGAGUCACUAAAUCAAUUAUAACUCAAGCUACGAAACUCAAAAUUUAGAUCCGUAAAUUUUCCCUAAAACUAGACUCAUAUAAAUAUUCACCAUAAAUUUUUAAGAAUUUUUAGUUUAUCCAAUUAGUAUAGUUUAUUAGUUUAAGUCUCCCUUGUUUCACUAAUAGACUACCCUGACCUCUCGUCACUAAAAUUCAAUUAUCUCCUUAUACAGACUUGACAUGGUGCUUCCAAUUAUUUUUACUUAAAAUAUACUCAUUAAGGAAUUUAAAAAUAUAAUUUAUAACUCAUAAUUACUUUUUUACAAUUUUUAUUGAAUUUCUAAAUUCAGAACAGGGGACUUCAAAAUCAUUCUGACCCUGUCUCACUAAAAUUCAAAUAUCUAAAAGUAUAUAACUCUUUUGCUUACUCUAUUGCUUUCAUGUGAAAGUAUACUCAUUCAGAUUUAAUUUCAUAUCUCACUUAACUUAUAAUUCUAUUUCCACUAUUUUUGGUGAUUUUUCACAGUUACAUCAAUGCUGCUGUCCAAAAACUGUUCCAUUGAAAUUUUUAAAAAAAAUUCAAUAUAACCCCUUUAUAAUUAUCUAACCUUCCCUGCAAAUUUCAAAUCACAACCAAUUUCAGUAUUUCACCUACUUCACUUAAAUACUAAUGAAGUUCAACCAAUCAACCAUUUCAAACUAAAAACAUGUAUAGUUCAAUGUCUAACACAACCAUCAUAUUCAAAUUUACUUUGCAUACUUAGUCAUUCAUUCUAUUACUUUUUACUUCAAUUCCCUAUACAUGCCAUAUAAAUCCAAAAAGUUGUUUAACAAAAUCUACCAGAGUAAAUCUAGAUAGUGUGAUUCUUGGUGUAGAUCCGAUCCUCCGAAUGUAUAAAUACGUCAAUCUACAAGAAUCAAUAAACACAUAAUUAAGCUUAUAGAAAGCUUAGUAAGUUCAUAGGCACCAAACAUAAAUCUUACCAAACAUUUAUACACUUAUACAUUAUACACCAUUACUAAGUUUACCUGUCAACCACAAUCUUUGGUGAGUUCCUUGUUAUAAACUCACUACUACUUAUUCUUUUACCAUAAUUCCUUUGGGCCCAUUUGUCACUUACCAUCCUUGAUCAAAAUUAAGGAACGGUUACGGAAAAUUGAGUACUUCACUUUCACUUUGCCAUAGUAUAACUAUGGUCUUACAUAUGAUCACUUAUCACUUGUCCUUGAUAAGAUAAGUGUAGCUAGGCUACCACUUAUCACUUUGUCACUUGAUCAGAUAAUUGUAGCUAAAGCUACCACUUAUCACUUUAUCACCACUUAUCACUUGUUCCUGAUCAGAUAAGUGUAGCUAAAACUACCACUUAUCACUUUGUCACCACUUAUCACUUGUUCCUGAUCAGAUAAGUGUAGCUAAAGCUACCACUUAUCACUUUGUCACUUGAUCAGAUAAGUGUAGCUAAGCUAUCACUUAUCACUUUGUCACUUGAUCAGAAGUACUCAAAUUCGGUGUUCCGCUCAAUUUGAUCAUUUAUUCAGUUUUCACAUUUUUAUUUUAUUCUCAUUUCAUCAAUAAAUAUAUAUAUUUCAGCAUACAUUAUAUAAUUCAUGAAAUUAACAUUUAAUCAUUAAAUUUCAGCCAUAUGAACUUACCUGGGUCGAUUUAUUGAAUUUGUAAAAGUUCAGGGACUAAUCAGCUACUUUUUCUUUUCCUCGACUUGUUUCGGGUUCUCAAUAUGAUUCAAAUAUAUGAAAAACCAGCUUGGAUGGACUCUUCAAUGGCGUUUUUUGCUGAGAAAUAUGAUGAAUUGCCUAGAAACUCUUUUAGUUAAGAUUUUUAUUUGUUAACUUUUACAAAAUUUCCAAUUUUGCCCUUAUUACAUCACUUUUUCAGAUUUUUCUUCUCUUAUGCCGUCUCAACUAUUCCAUAUUAGCAUAUUUAUGCCUUAAGUCCCUCCUUAUUUGCCACUUAAGCUGUUUAAUCACUUUUAACAAAUUUUACAUUAUUUUCAGUUUAGUCCUUUUUAAUUAAUUAACCACCCAAACGUUAGAAUUUUCUAACGAAACUUUAAUAUCAAUUCAAUGACACUCUAUAAAUGUUUCUAAAAAUAUUUAUGGCUCGAUUGAUGAGUUUGAGGUUUCGAUACCUCAUUUUUUAUUCUAAUUAUUUUAAUAUUUAUUCUUAGUAUACUAUUCACUAUUUUAAAAAUUUUCCUAACUUCGCAUUUAACUUAUACUCACUAAAUUAAUAAUAUUUUCUACUCAUUUGUCAGAUUUAGUGAUCUAGAAUUACCAUUCCGACACCACCGAAAAUUCAGGCCAUUACAUUAUGUUUAUUGACUCAUUUUUUCUGUUGACUGAAUUUCAGGUAACUCAUCGACUUAGGCGGGUCGGCAUGGCGAGAGCUCGGUCAUCCUUAUUUAGUAAUUUUCUGUUUAAAUUAAACUUAUGCUAUAGUUGUUUUAUCUUGAAUUACAGAUUGCAAAUUUAUAUUUCUACACUAGUUCAACUAUUUAAACAUUUUCUGACAAUUAAACUUUAAUUAGUUAAAAGUGAGAAUUUCUUAAAUGAUUUGUUGUAGCUUUCCAAGCUUGGUCCUAACAUCUAGGUCGGGUUUGGGGUGUUACAACCCAAAACCCCCAAACUUUCCCCUCAAAACUUUUACUCCCCCACCCUUUCUCUUUCUCGCUCACCCUCCCAAACCCUUUUACUUUUCCCCCAAAACUUUUACUUCCCACUUUUACCCCCAAAUCAAAAAUCAAAAUCCUCCCAAAAAAAUCCUUAAACCUAAAUAGUAAUAAUUUUAUUUAUGGCCACUAUUUAUAUUAUAAAUUAAAUUUCACAUUUUCUAUUAUUUAUAUUAUUAAAUUGUUUAAUCAUUUUGAAUCUUUAUCAAUUUCUGUUAAAACUGUAUCAUUGAUGAUGUCAUACAUUAUUUGUGUUAAAAAUUUCUAUUGGUAUCAAUUUCACAUUUUAUCUUUAAAAUAAAUUUUAUUAAAAAAAUUACUUUUUUACAUUUAAUAUAUUUUUUAAUUUCAAAAUAUAUGGUGACAAGAAUUAGAAGAUAAUUGAAGCAACUAAGCAAGUAAAAAAGCUAACAUGUAUAUAAAAGAUUAAAUAAAUUAUGAAGGGAUGAAAGUUAAUAACACAUUUGAUUACGGUGGACAAAUUUGAUAAUGAUGGGUGACAGUGGCUACAAGGAUCCAAAGUAAUUUUUUCAAUUAACUGGAAACAAAUAUAUUCGAUUCGAUUCGAUAAAAUUUGAAAUCAUUUUAGGAUGAUAAAAUAAGAUUCGUCAACUCGAUUAACUCGAAGUUUUUUCAUUUGAUUCGAUUAGACGCUCACCCCUACAAAGUAUGACCGAUUGGUCUGAUUCUGAAAAAAAUUGGUUUUGAUCAAUGAAAGAACUUUUACGAUGGCGACAGGUCUAACAAACAGGUGAUAUUUUGAAAAGAAAAUUAAUCUCCAUAGUCUCAACCUUAGGAGGGUGAAUUUUGAGCAUUGCAUUUGUUGUCAUUGUUAGACAUUAUAAAGGAAGAAAAAAGAAAGAAAAAAGUUAAAAUGAGGGAAAUUAUUGAAAAAAAGAGAGAAGAGAAUAAUUAAUUUUUUUUAAAAUUUUACAUGUCAAUCUAUUAUUGAUUAGAUUUUUUUAAUGAGUGUAACAUUUUGGUGUUAAAUGGAUAAUAAAAAAAUAUUUUAAGUAUCAUUUAUGAUAAAAAUAUUUAGGUAUCAAUUUGAAAAAAAUAUGUAGCUUAGAUACUAAUUGAUGGGUUAAUUUUUUUAGCUUAAUAAUUUGAUUAAACCGAAAUACCAACUGAAAAAAAGUUUACUCGCCGCUUAUGAAAAAAAAUAAGUAUGAAUUUGUAAGUUAAAUCUCCCUAAAAGAAAAAAUAUAUCACAUUCAAUACGGGGUGAAUGAAGCAAUGAAUGCAAUGGGGUAUUACAACCAGCCACAUGUCAUUCAAUUCAUGUUAUAUCUACCUUGUUGGCCCCACAGGCGGUCUUUUCCAUUAUUUUCGAAGUGAACGACAUGAGUCGGACCUAUAUCGGCCCCAACAAACAACCUCAACCACUUGUUUUGUUAGGUUGUUGACUAAUUUGAAUAUGUCGGCUCAAAGCUUUUUGAAAAUUAAAUUAUUUUUUAUAUUAAUAUCAUAUAGGUAUAAAAAUUUAACGUUUUGUAAAAAAAAUAAAUUUAGUGUUAAAUUUAAAUAAUUAUAAAAAAUUAUACAAAAUACAAAGACAACUUAGAGUCAAUAAAAAAAAUAUGGAAAAUCAAUUCAUACAUGAAAUGGCAUAAAAAUAUUAUGAACACUAUACAAAUAUAUGAAUGUUUUUAUAUCUAUAUAAAAUAAGUUAUUAACGCUUAAAUUUCAACCAAUUAAAUAUUAAUUUAACUAUAAACUAUAAAAAAUUAAAAUUUCAUUUACCCUAAACAAUUAUUCUAAUUUCGCCCCUGUAUAAAAUAGUUGUAAUAUUAAAAAAAAAGUUAUACGAAUAUGGAGUGUUAAAAAAAAAGGCUUUCAACUUUUAAUAUUCCAAACAAAUAAAAGAAAUAAUAAUAACAGUUUACAAGUGCAAUAAAAGUAAUACAUAUUUGAUGAAUUAAAAAUAGAAUAAAUAUAACUAACUAUAACAGAAAUAUAUUUAGAUUUAAACCAAAUUUUUUUGAAGAUGAAAUUUGAACUCACAAAUAAUAUUUAUAAAUGAUGAUAUGUUUUAGAACAUGUAUAUUUUAAUUUCAUUUGAUAUUUAAAUUAAAUGAAUGAAAUGAGUAUAUUAGCAUAAAUAUAUUGAAUUUCUAGAUUUAUUAAAAAUCCAACUAAAUAGAGUAGAUCCAUAAAUUUAAAAAAUGAUUAUGGAUUUUGAAAUAUAAAUCUAAAAUUUAAAAUCUGAAACCCUCCUAAAUGUUUUCCAAAGUAAGGCGGGGAUAAAUGGUAUAGGGAAGACGGUGGGUAGAUAGAUGUACGGUUUAUUUAUAACUUCGUUUUUAUUAGUCGGCUUACAGUUUCAUAAAAAGCAUCCGUGCAAGGCAUGUUCAAAUGCUGCACUAGCAUACCACUACUAUAAAAAAAACACAUACAAGAGCACCACAAAUUUAUCCCAAAAUACAUUAAAUAAAUGACUCCUAAGGGUGCCAGAUUUAACUAGUGUGUCUGGGAUUGUAUUAGCCUCUCUGAGGCCAUGUGAAAAAAUUUAAUGUUAUUGUUAUAUUUCCAUCUCGAUACGUUGCAAGACAUGAAGCAAUCUGUAAACAACUCUCUUUUGGAAGCAGUUUGCAUACGACUCUUCGCUAAGAACCAUUUGUUGUGAUCUUUCGCUUAGGAUUGCUCACAAAUGACCCCCAUGCACCCUAUCUCUCUCCCUCCUUAACUCAUCAUCUUGAACUCUCAUCCUAUUAUAGGUGAAUCGAGACUCUUCUCCUCCACCCUUUCCUCGUUGGUUACUUGUAGCAAAAAAAAUUAAUUUCACCGAAAAUGUUGGAGAGAUCCCAUGGUCUAAGUGUGUUGUUAGAGCAAAGCUCGAUGGCAAAUUUGGAGUCAAAUUUUAGAAUCAACCCUUUAAAAUCCAUUACACCGUAAAGGAAAAUUUUUACAAUUACAUUAACAAUAAAUAUUCAAAAUUUACUCAUCUAUCUAUACUUAUAUUAAGCCUUAUUUGAGUUGGAGUCAAGAGUCAACUAGGUACUAACUCAGUUGAGAAUUUACUAAAUAAUUUUAAUAUAAAGUAAAAAAAAUAUUAAUACGAGGGUGUUUUUAUCUUUUCAUAUUUUUAAAUAAAAAUACUAUAAUAAGAUUUAAACUUAAGUUUAAAAUUUCAAUCAAAACAUCACUUAAAUUUAAAAUAACAUUUUUAUAUAAAAUGUGUUUAGAUUCUAAGAUAAUGAAAUUUAUGAUGAGGUAUUCAAAAUGUGUUUGAAUAUGCUAAUGAGAUAUUCAAAUUGGUAUGCACAUUCCUAAUCAGGGAGCAUUAAUGAUAAUUUAGUAAAAUAAAUUAUCUCAUUAGCAUAUAGUUUAUUAUAAAAUUAUUGUGUAAAAUAAACAAUUCACAAACUUAAGAAUUUAUAACACAAAAAUUAUACAUCAAUGUUGUUAGAAUUGUAUUAUAUCCAUCGGUUGAAUUUAAAUUUAAAAAUUUAAUCAGCGAUAAUAAUUAAAAUCGUUUCAAACUAGUAAAAUAUUGAAAAUUAAGAACUAAUAAAAUAGAUUCUAAUUAUUUUUAUUUAAAAAAUGUUACCUUCUUAUUCAGGUUACAUUAAGACAAACCCAUCUUAAUUAUAAGUAUCAUAUUGUGAAUGGUAAACUUCUUACACAACAUCCACCAUUUGUCCAAAUAUGUUAAAUUAGGUGCAACAUAGAAAUUUUAUUGUAAGGAGUGAAUCUCAUUGUUUUUAUUUUCAUCAAACAUACGUCUAACUUUAUUAUUACGGGAUUAGAACUUAAAUUUGAUAAAUUGUGUGGUUUUAGGUGAUUUCUUUUCGUUAAAUUUAUCUAAAUCAACCUAACACUCGAAAAGUGAGAAUUCUCCUAAAAAUUCUUUAUGUUAGCAAAAAAUAUAGUGGAAGUAACUUGAAACGAAAGAGCAAUGAGAGAAUUGAAAAGACACAAGAAAAUAAUGCAUACAAGGUGUUUGAGUAAAUGCUCUCAAUAAAUUCUUUAACUCAAGAAGGAAUGAAGUACAACCAGUAUCUAGCCCCCCUAAAAUAGAAAAUUUUCCAUUUAUAUACCUUUAUAAUUUAUAAAAUUUAAAAUUUUACUUUCCCAUAAAAUGAUAAAAAAUUGAUUUAUUUCUUUAAAAAUUAUAAAGAUGACUAUUAAAAUAGUAAAAUUGUAUUUUUAUUAUUGUAAAAAUAUACAAUUUAAUUCUGUCUCCCAAAUUUUUUUUUUUUGGUUUCAUCCCUAAGUACAAUGAUCGUUGUAGCAGGAUACAUAGGCAUUCUAGCACAGAAUGCAAAUAUGUUGCCAAUUAACUUCGAGUCAUGGCAUAAAGUGCCCGAGAGUAACAAGAACCAAGCUCUCGAUAACAUUAAGGUAACAAAAUGUGUAUAUCAUUUAUAAUACUUGAGUUUAAGUUUCGUUUACAUUUACUUUCUGAAGUUGUGUUUUUUGUAGGGGAGAUUUGCUCUAGAGGUCUCCGAUGCUUAUGUAAAGAAGGCAUUGGGAAAAAGAUGGAGAGACCAUAAGAGCACUUUAAAGAAAGACUAUUUUAAGACAAAAACAACACUCGACGAGAGAUUACAAAAUGUCACGCCGGGAAUGCUGAGGUACCAGUGGGAAGAAGUCGUUAGAUUUUGGACUUCGAAGAAAGGAGAGGUAUGUGUUACUACAAAAAUCUUGUAAUUAUUUUGGUUUAUAGUAUUUACUAAUUAACGUACUAAUAAUUUCAUAACGUAGGAUCGUGAACGAGUUGGAACAAGUAGUAGGCAGAAACAAAAAUUCACGCACACAGCUGGGUCGAGAAGUUUUGCGUGUGUAGCUCAGGCCGAGGUAUUUUGAAUUUUUUAAUACUGGCAGAUAUUUAUUACUUUCUAUCAAAUAAUAUUUUUACUAUUGUAUUGUAGGAAGUGUUGUCGGGUCAAAAAGUUGGACGCCUUCAACUUUUUGACAUUACACAUAGGAAGAAAGAUGGAAACCCUAUGACUCCUGAAGCUGCAGAAAUUAUGGUACGUUUGCUUAAUACAAUUUGACUUGUUUUAAUUAUUUAUGCUGUUUAUUUUCUAAUGUUUUUUAUUACAUUUCUUGUAAUGCAAAUAUUGUUAAGUUAUGUUGCAUUUGUUUUGUUAAUAUAUGUUGCGUUCUUAACUAUGUGAUUUAUUUUUUAGGAAAAACUGAAGGAUAAAAAGGCGGAGUACGAAGCGAUUGCUUCCAGUGAUAGUUCUGUUCAUAUUGACGACAUUGAUAACCGGAUUAUCACUGAAGUUUUGGGUCCUGAAAGGUAUGGUCGGGUUCGAUUUCAAGGAUCUUUUGUUAACCCAUCCCAAUAUUUUGGAUCCAGCUCGCAACAAUACAUGCAUUCGGGGAGUCAGGCUCAAGCUGAAGUUCAGAGGUUAAGAGACCAGAUAGCUCAGAUGCAAGCGGCAACGAGUGAGCAAAUUACACAACUUAAAGCGGAGGCAACAUCGAGAGAAGCUGAGGUUCAAAAAAGAUAUGAAGAACUCCAGCUACAACUUAAAGCAGAUGCGGCAGCGAGAGAAGCAGAGGUAGCAGCGAGAGAAGCUGAGGUUCAACGAAAGUAUGAGCAACUGCAGCAGCAGCUUAAAGAAGAUGCGGCAACGAGAGAAGCAGCGGCUGCAGCGAGGGAAGUAGAGGCUGCAGUGAGGGAAUCAGAACAGCAUAAAAAGUUCGAUGAACUCCAGCAGCAGCUUCAGAAUAUGAUGAAGAUGUUUCAGCAGUCGCAACCGCCGUCAUCUUAGACUAUCGUUUAAAUAUACUUCAAUUUUGACUUUGGUAUUAUUAUUUUAACUUUUACAAUUUCUGUCAGAAUAAUACGAAUUUUAUUUUAUUUAUUGACAUUUAUUUUAAAUAUUAUAUAGAUUUGGUUAGAUUUGGUUGGUUGGAUUUGGUUUCUUCUGAUUUGUUUUUAUAGGAGGGGGCUGAAAUUUUUUUUUUCAAAUCUGCAAAAAUUAGCGGCGUUUUUUUGGAUAAGCGCCGCUAAAGACCAUCGUCUAUAGUGGAAUUUUUUGGCUAAGCGCCGCUAAAGACCAUGGUCUAUAGUGGCAUUUUUCGGCUAAGCACCGCUAAAGACCAUGGUCUAUAGUGGCGUUUUUUGUCUAAGCGCCGCUAAAGACCAUGGUGUAUAGUGGCAUUUUAUGGCUAAGCGCCGCUAAAGACCAUGGUGUAUAGUGGCGUUUUUUGGCUAAGCGCCGCUAAAGACCAUGGUCUAUAGUGGCGUUUUUUGUCUAAGCCCCGCUGAAAACCAUGGUCUAUAGUGGCGUUUUUUGGCUAAGCGUCGCUAAAGACCAUGGUCUAUAGUGGCGUUUUGUGGCUAAGCGCCGCUAAAGACCAUGAUCUAUAGUGGCAUUUUUCGGCUAAGCGCCGCUAAAGACCAUGGUCUAUAGUGGUGUUUUUUAGGCUAAGCGCCGCUAAAGACCAUGGUCUAUAGCGGCGUUGCAAAGAAAACGCCGCUAAAGACCAUGGUCUAUAGUGGCGUUUUUUAGGCUAAGCGCCGCUAAAGACCAUGGUCUAUAGCGGCGUUGCAAAGAAAAUGCUGCGAAAGGUCUUGAUCUUUAGCGGUGUUUAUUAUAAAAAGCGCCGCUAAAGUUACCGACGCUGUCAUUAGCGGCGAUCCUUGCGGCGCUUCGUAAAGCGCCGCUAAAAGUAUUUGCGGCGCUAAAAAAUGCCGCUAUAGACCUAAAAAAGCGCCGCUAAAACCCUGUUUUGGUGUAGUGUGAGAUGAUUACAAAUGAAGGGGGAGAUCUCUAUUUAUAGUUGAGCUCCCCUAGAUCCAAUAGUAUAGAUUGAAUUACAUCAACGAUUGAGAUUAGUACUUAUCUACAAGAUGAGUCUUAAGGAUUUUAAACUCUAUACAUCUUUAUCCCUUAGGAUUUACAUUAAUUACUCUGGUAACUCUAGUUUUACUGGAGAGUUUCACUGAACCACCAAAGGUUUAAGUAGAUGAGCUUCUCCAUAUGUUCCACGAGUUGGACAAGUUCAAGCGGAUCAAAUGAGCCCAAUUUAAUUAGUUAAUCUCAAUAAAACGUUCUAUGCACAAUGAUCAUGAACUUUGAUCCACAUCUCAAAAUGAUCAGAUGAAUAAUCUCUCUUAAUUAUAUUUUUAUAAAACUUGAUAUUUUCAUUUAAAAAGAAACACAAUCACAUAUAAUAAUGUCUCCAAAAGAGUCGUCCACUUCAAAGAUUUAAAGUAAUGUAAGAAUGAACCCAACAUUUUUCAAUUAAAAAUAUGUCGAUAGAUAUAGCAAGUUGUAUAACCUUUCAAUUACAAAACAGAUUUCAAUGGGGAUUGCAUCCGGUACAUGCAACUAAAGAACAGAACCGGUGCAUAAAUUGAUUUAAUUAAACUUUGGGUUGAGUAAUCAUGAUUUUCAUUAUUAUUAGACUACGUGAAUGUUGAUAUAAAAUGCUUGAGAGAAGGGUAUAGAAGAAACACAAAAUAAUGAGUGAUAUUAAUUUGUAGAUAAAGAUAAUAUUACAUAGUCGCAAAAAGCGACCUAGUACACAACGCACAACUCUAAAUUAGGAUAACUCCUCUGCUAUCCCUAUGGAUGGAUUUUAACAUCCAUAUUUAUUCUGUAGCUAUCGUUAUUUUGGCUUCCACUAGCUGGUGAACUUUCCAUGCCAAAACUUCACUUAACCCUGCAAAUGAAACAACAAAAAACACAACAUUAAAUGUUGAGCAAUUAAUAAGCAUAAGCAAUGAAACAACUCAUACGAACCUGCUGCAGUCAGUGCUAGGGCUGAUCUUGUAAGGGAUGUUGACACCGCACUUGCCUGGGAGUCCGCUUGCAAUACCAUAGUUGAUGCCAGGAAUGCCGGCGGCCGCACUUUUGAUGCAUUUGCAAGCUGCUUGCCGGUCUGGUGUUGUUUGGGCGGCGGAGUUGAGAGAUUUGAUGCCGCUGCAGCAACCUUGGGGAACGGCACCAGCACCAUUCCCUCUCAAGUAAUUAAUGCAGGGUGCGAGGGAGCCUGUGACUUGACCACAGGUUACGGUCCCUUGAGCCAGGGGUGCACCCACCACCAUGCACAACACCACCACACAUGCAAGCUUAAGGGACAUUGAGCUAGCCAUAUCGAUUAAUUACAAGAAAAACAAACUUGUAAGGAAAAUGCUUGCUUGGAGUAGUAGUAGUAUUGCUGAUUGUUGCGUGGUUAGGGCCCGAGGGUAGGAGGGUUUUUAUAGCCAAAAGUUUUGUGAAGGGAUAUGGAACGAACUGAGAAACACGUACGAAUAGAAUAUGGUUAGGCGUUGGUAGUUGUCCCAAUUCAAUGCCAAGGUUUCUUUUUUUCUUUUUCAUGUUUCAGCUUAUGGUUGAGUGUGUUUAAUGCUUUGAAAAAGGUUUGUAUCUACCACUUUCAUCUUCAUCACUAAUGCUGAAUUACUCCGUUGAUUAAUGCAUCAUAUUAGCCUUGUCCUAGUGUUACCGGUUUUCUGAUAUUAGUAGCUUUACCAAUAAAAGAUGCUAUCAAAUAUAGUUUUCAGGAUGAUAUUAAAAAUUAAGGUUUUUUAGUUACAAAUAAAAUUGUCACAUUAUCAAAUUUUAAAGAUAUGAAAUUAUUAUUAUAAACUCAUCUAUAGAGAAAUUAUUUUAUGAGCCCUUUCCACCACAUUAUUCACAGUCCAUUUUCAAUUAUUUAAUAAUAUUUCAACAAUAUUUUUCAUGUCAUUGACACAUAAUUUUAAUAAAUUUUUUACCCUGAACCUUGAGUCUAGAAUCCCAAACCCUAAAUAAAAAACUUAAAACCCCAAACUAUAACCCCAAACACUUGCAUCAUAAACUCGAACCGCGAACCUCAAACUCAUAAUCUGUAACCUUGAACCCAAACUUGUAAUCUCGAACCCUUGAACCCUUGAACCCUGAACCUAAACCUUGAACCCUGAACUCAAAGCCCAAAACCAAAACUGAACCCUGAACCUUAAAUCUCAAACCCAAACCUUAAACCUCGAGGUUUGGGUUCAAGGUUCAAGGUUCAGGGUUUGAGUUCAAGGUUCGAGGUUUAGGAUAAAAUAAUUACCAAAAUUUGUAACAGAAUAAAAGAGUUCGUUUAUAAUUUAAAAAGCAAUUAUUUUAAGUAAUUUAAUUAAAGUGAAAUUAAGUUAGAGAAAAUAUUAGAUAUAGAUGAGUGUAUAAUAAUACUUUAUUGUCUUUAAAAUUUAAUGACGUGGUACUAUUUUAUUGGUGCCUCAAACUAUACUUUUUAGAAUAAUCCUAAUACAAUUUAUUCCCAUAUUAAAUACGUAUGCUUUCUAUAUUUUUUCGAAAAAAUAAAUUUUAUUCAUAAACUUUCUAUAUAUAAAUAUAUGUUUUAUUUAAAAUUUAUAAAUACAGAAAAAUUAAAAUAUAAAUAUAUGUCAAAGUAGCUAUUAAGUGUAGAAUUAAACAAUUAUAACAUAUAAAUAGAUUAAAAAUUAGGACAAAAAAUCAAUCUAUUACAUAAAAUAUAAAUUAUGAAUGAAAACAAUCUAAAUUAUAGUCUGGCUAAUCAAACUAAAACUUACAUAUAACCAUAUGACUUUAAGGGUCUUGAAUAUGGUUACUUAAAAGCUUAUAGUUCAGCUUUUACCCACUACGUCAAGGCUUCAUUUACGUUUUUUUUAACCAUAUAUUUUUCAUAUAAUUAUAUAUAUAUAUUUUGCAUAAAAAAUCCCCAAGACGUUAAUUACUUCUAUAUAAUGUAGCGAUUAAGUCCUCAAACAAAAAUUGCUCAACAUCAAUGCAUGUAUAGAUCAAUUUUAUAUAUCAAAGACCAAUACUAUCUUUUUCUUAAAAAAAAAAAAAAACCAAUAUGUUGUGAUUGCUUAGCUAUUGUUCCUAAGUCUUCCUGAAAAAGGUUUCACAGCGAGAGGAGAAAAAAAAAAGUUGAACUUGUCUUGGUUUGCCCCAUAAUGAUUGAAGCAUAGACAAGAUUAUAAAUGUUAAUUUAGUAUACGACAUAAUAAUAUAAUAUAAUAUAUUUAAAUGUAUAUCUCCUCACCUCCUAGACGCUGUCAGUUAUUUUAUUUUUUGGGAUUCUUUUAACAAAAGGUUGAGCUUUUUAUUAGGUUUUAUUUGAUUUUUCAUUUAUUAAUAUAAUUUUUUUAUUUUUAUAUAUUUUAGUUAUUAUUAAUUUUUGUUGGAAAUUUGUACGGUCUUGUUCUAACAACAAUUACAACAAGCUUUUUGGAACAAUCAAAAGUUUUGGGUGUUGGCAUGUUUGACUUUUAAUGGCUUAUGUUUUAAUAUUAGUUAACAACAAAUGAUAAGAGAAUUUCAUGGUAAAUUAGAAUAUAAUUAUCAUCCAUUUGAUUAGUCUUGAAGAGGAAGGAGAGGAGUUUUAACUUUGGUGGACACCCAUCCUUAUCCUUGUCUUUUAGAGUGUUUGAAGCUAUUGGAGAACUUGGUUUUAAAGAUUUUAUUUGAUAAAUAUUCAAAAUAAUUAAUUUGAUAAUUUCAACUUUUAAAGGAGAGUUUAAAACUUAUCAAAAUAUUAUUUGAUAAACACUUGUAGAGGCGUAUAAAUAGGCAACAGUGUGGUGUAACUUUGUUUGUUGUUUUGGAGUGUCUUAAACUUUUAUUUUUUUGCUAUUCCAUUGGGUAACUUUAUGACACUCUCUUUUUAGGUAUUAUUUGGAGAUGUUUAGUAAUUGUAUUGUGAGGAAUUUGAGUGAGUGAUUGCAUUGAAGAAAUGCGACCUAAAUGUAUAUGUUAAACUCUUAUCUAGGACAUAAAUUCCAUGAACAAGGUACCCAUGUUAAUAACAUGUCACCACUUCGCAUCUUUAUGGUAUUGACCCUAUGUAGUUAGACCCUAUAUGACGUAAACAACACUUAUAGUGUGCACGAUAUCGUAGGCUUGAACGUUGAUUGAAUGCAACCUAUAUUUUGGUGCCUUUGUCGGAAAUGAUGUAUGCAUCGGGUUGCGGUACAAAUGCCUUCUCAGGUUAGUUAAGAAGAAAUCCCAUUCAUCAUUGGAUUCUUCAGGAGUUAUUACAAAAGCUAUUGGCAGGAUUUUUAGGUUACCAUCUUAUGCAACAACUACUAACAACCGAUGGUCGCAUAUUCUAUACAGGAAUGUGCCGUUAAUUUGGAAAAGUGGCUUACAGUACCAAAAUGUAGUUCUGCAUUGCUUAAAAGUCCAAAAGCAACGGUGGAAAACUCCUUUUCCAGGGACCAAGCAAUCGUCAUAAUACGCAGGCUCCAUUUUUAACUUGGUUACAGAACCUAGUAUGUACCACUCUAGUAUCUAACACCAUUGCCACAAUUUAUAGUAGGAUUUCUCCCACCCUCUAUUCAUUUUCUCCAAUGCCUUCUAUUUUUGCAACUAUGUCUUAUGCUAGGACAUGGUGUAAUCGGAUUCUCUACAGAUGUGUGCGAUCAAAAUUGGGACCAGAAUCGUAGGACUUGCUUUUGCCAUGGGUAAUAGAAUUUUAGAUAUCAUGUCUAAAUCUAAUUUUGGAUGAUCAUUCGAUAUGCUUGAAAAACAAGAAAUCAAGUCACUAUGUGUAAUAGAAUGUAAAAAAAGGCUAGGAUUCGAGUCGAUGUUGUUAGCCAUAUUACAUACCAGCUACAACACAUGUAUGUGGCACGAUAAAUUUCCUACGUUUAAAAUGCCAACUUCUUCGUCAUAAAUGCCAUGAUUUUCCAUAGACAUCUUGUUGCACGCAUUGUGCGCAUCGCCUUAUAUUUCUCGGAUUGAGAGCAUGUAAUAGUGAAGUUGACACCAAGUUGUAUGCUAUACUACUUGAUUGUAGCUACAAAAGCAUAUUUGGAGUCAAAUUCCAUCCCAACCUCUAAGUGGUCGAAAUUUGUUGAUGAAGUCGCAUACCUUAGUCUUCUACGGGGGAGGUCUGGGAAUUCUAAAACCACUUUCACUAGUAAGACUGAGAGUACGCAUAUGGGGUGGGGGUUUGUAUUUCGUGAAACUUAGGUCAUCCCCUCGAGCGAUGUCUAAAGCUUGACCAUUAGAUCCAUCGUCUUCUAGUUCAGUAGGAAUGGGAUCUAGUUCUAAAAUUACUACAAUUUCGCACCAUCCAGUCCAACCACCUCUCCUGGGUCAUUAUCUGAUUUAGACCCCUCUUUGACCACUUUGUUCUCUUGUCCCUCUUUGUUAUCAACCCUGGUUGUAAGUCCAGGGUUGGAUGUACCCUCUCUGGUCAAAGUUGUCAAGAGUAGAUCAUUCAUUCUUGUAAAUCCGAUGUCAAUCCCAAAAUCAAUUCUGUUUGGCCUACCCAGUAACUUGAUGGUGUACCAUAUGAGUGUUAUCGAGGUUGAACAUAGGUGUGUCAAAGUUGAAACCAAAGGCACUGAUAGAAUGUUGUGCGGCUGUGUUGUAGGCCUGGUGACCGAAUACGUCUAACUAUCCCCCGAAGUUGAAAUCGAGGGAUGAAAUCGAUGAAUGCCUCACCAUUGAUGAUGUUAAUAAUGUGUCUUUGUAUAAGCUUUGUAGAAAUGAUCUGAAUCCACAACAAAACCGUGUGGCCAGACUUUUUGCUUCUUGAUUUGGCUAGAAAUUUGGCGGACACGGUAUAAUCGAGCUUGGGCCACCUUUUUCCUCUUCAGCAAAGACUGUAUAUUCUCACUAGAGUAAUGAGUUUCGAUCACUGUCUUCAAACCGUUGUCCCCUGUGAUCUGAAAAAUGGAAUAUCUAACGGGGUUAAAUGAUGUUAGAUAUCUACAUUUCAGGCUCAAAAUUCUUCUUCAGAUCCCUACUUUAUGCCUAAACCUUGUUCAAAGCUCUUUUAACGUUAUGCUCUAGUUGAAUGUCAGAUCUUUAGAUUGGGUUGAUACAAAAAUGGGCUCAAUUUCAGCCUCACAAUUUUGACCGUUGUAAUGGACAAUAGCUCUGGCUCGUCUCCUCAUCUUGAACCAAAUAUUCUAUUCCACAUGUUUAAAAUCGAGAAAAUUGUAAAAAUAUAGUUCUCAUCACCCAAAUCCCUAAAUUUACACUUACUUUAAUGAAAUACCUUUGCUUCGACAAUAUUGUCAGUAUAAAAUUUUUGUUUUUUACUACAACAUCGAUAACUCCUAAUGCCAACAAUCUGCUUCAAACAUCUGUAUGGAAAAUCCAAGAAUUAUAUUGAGUUUUUUUAUAGAGCCUUUUCCUCGACGCACAUGAAACGAUUCUAGCAACAACACAUGUCAAGGCAUUAGUUGUUUUUGAGGUAUACACUAAAAAUUAAAAUUUGUGGGGGAGAAAACGUUCCCCGCAACGAUGUUUUUCAGCACCUAGACAUAGCAUUGAAAUUUAUCCUAGGAAUCCCGGGUUGUAGGGGCUUAGAGGUUGAAGCAAUCAAGUUGGCUUGGGUAUUGAAAGACCAUAAAGAAAAUGCCUAUUGCAGGAAGCAUUUCCACCUGACUUGGCAAUCAAAAUGCCUCCUGCAGGACGCGUUUUCCAGCCACAUCUCUGAUAUGUUAGUCGAAAACGCAUCUUGCAAGAGGCGUUUGUACUGCCAUGUUAGGUAAAAACACUUCCUGCAGGGAACAUUUUCUUUAUGGCCAUUUCAACACCCAGGCCAACUUAAUUGCUUCUGCCUCUGAGCCCUUACAACACGGGAUUCUCGGGAUAAAAAAAUUUCCCUUUUUACCCCACCCCAUCCCUUAUAUAAAUGCAUGUUCUCAUCCCCUACUCACCCAUAUCUCAGUCUCCUUUAAAUUAUUUUUUUCUUUUUCUUCCGUGUUGAAAUUUUCAAGUUUAAAGAUUUAUUUCUCUCACACUUUGAGGGGGAUGUAAUCAUAGUUUUAAGUUGUGUUUGAGUUCACAAUAAUGUCGUGGCGCUUGAUAACUUACAAAUUUCACUUGUCGUGUGAGUAUGGAGCCAUCACUUGAGAAAUCGAGAUCGCUUUGCAACUCGAGGUCCAAGUUGACGGUGUAAAUAAGGCUUCAAGUUUACAAAGGUUAUGCUAUUAAAAGGAUGGAGCAAAACCGGGACUGUAGUUGAUGAUGGUGAUGCAAGCACAAGAACUAGUUUUUCCUCAUUGGAAGAGCAUACUUUAUAAAAUCCAUAUACAAGUACGAGGGAGAAAAUCACAGGGGUCUUCCAGUAUAAUCAAGUAAUUCAUUUUAUCCUUUUCCAGCAAAGGCAAUGACCCUGUUACUAAAACCUAUUACAUCCCAAUUCUAUCAUAGGUAAUAGUAACGGUGUCACUGUCUUUGGUGGAGAUGGAUAAAAAAAUUUACUUAAUUAUACUGAGAUACCAUUGCAUUUUUCUUCCUCGUACUUGUGUAUGAGUUUUAUAAAGCAUCAUUUUCUAAUGAAAAAAGUUUUUUGUCGUGCCCGCAUAACCAUUGUAAAUUACAGCUCCAAUCAUACUCCGUCCUUUGAUAGCGUAACAUUUUGUAAACUUGAAGCUCUAGUUACACUUCAAUUUCAGACCGUAUAAUCACCCUUAACUGGGACCAUGAGUUGCAAUGCGAUCUGGCUUCUCGGGUGAUGGCUCCAUACUCACAUGACAAAUGAAAUUUGUAGGUCACCUAACUCCACGACACCACCAUAAAUUCAAACAUUCCUUAAAACUAUAACAGUGUCUAUCUCAAACAAGAAUGAAAAUAAAUGUUCAAACUUCUAAUUUCAAAUUGCAAGAAAAAAAAAAGAAAAAAAUAAAUUUUAGCAAAGUAAAAAUGGGUCCUACCGGCACAUUUUCAUUGCCACAUCAAUGAAAAUACACCUCGUACGACACGUUAUUCUUUCUUCGUAAACAAUGUAAAUCAAUAAAUUUAAAAAAAAAUUAUACAUUCUCAAAUAACUCUUUUUUUCAGCAUUUUUGUUAAAUUUAUCCCAUAAUACUGCUACUUCUUGUUUCCUGGGUUAUUUUUAUUACUGCUGGUUGUACCACCCUCCUACUGUGCGCCGGUUAUAGCAACUCACUCAAGAUUCUAAAUACUAAUAUAAACACCAUUUCUUUUAUUCUUAGUUUUUUUAGUGAUUAACGUGGUUUUAAUUAUCGUUAGAUCACGUGGGUGUUUAUAUGAAAUGCUUGAAAUCGUCACGCAGGACAAAAAAAAAAAAGAAAAAGAAAAGGAAAUGAAGAGUAUAUAUAUAGAGGAAACAACUAGUGAGAGUGAUAUUAAUAUUUAGAGUAGGUAAAGAUAGUAUUAUAUAGUCGCAUAUGCGACCUUGUACAUUACCACUAACUCUAAAACUAGGAUAACUCCAACAAUGAAUAGUACCGCUAUGGAUUUUUAACAUUCAUUUUUAUUCUGUCGACAUCACUAUUUCCCUUCCAUUAGCUGAUCCCAACUUCCAUGACCACACUUCACUUAAUGCUGCAAAUGCAACCACACCAAACAAAACAUUCAUAAAUUAAUAAAUCAAUUGCCAUAAGCGAUAAACUUUGGGUCAUUUUCUUUUUCCGUAAUUUCAAAGAAACCUAGUUUAAAUUAGAUACGAACCUUUUGCAGUCAGUGGAAGGGCUGAUCUUGUAAGGGAUGUUGAUACCGCACUUGCCUGGGAGUCCGGCUGCAGUGCUAUAGUUGAUGCCAGAAAUGCCGGUGGCCGCACUUUUGAUGCAGCUGCAAGCUGCUUGCCGGUCUGGUGUUGUUUUGGCGGCAGAGUUGAGAGAUCUGAUGCCGUUGCAGCAAGCUGGGGGAGCAGAACCAGCACCAUUCCCUUUCAAGUAAGCAAUGCAGGGUGCGAGGGCGCUUGUGAUUUGACCACAACUUAUGGCCCCUUGAGCCAGGGGUGCACCCACCACCAUGCAAAACACCACCACACAUGUAAGCUUAAGGGACAUUGAGCUAGCCAUAUCAAUUAGUCACAAGAAAACAAACUUGUAAGGAAAAUGCUCGCUUGGAGUAGUAGUACUAUUGCUGAUUGUUGCGUGGAUAAGGAUUGAAGGUAGGAGGGUUAUUAUAGCCAAAAGUCGAGUGAAGGGAUUUGGAAAGAACCGAGAAACACGUACGAAUAGAAUAUGGUUAGGCGCUGGUAGCUGGCCCAAUUUAAUGCCAAGGUUUCUUUCUUUCUUUUUCAUGUUUCAGCUUAUGGUUGAGUGUGUUUAAUGCUUUGGAAAAGGUUUGUAUCGACCACUUUCAUCUUCAUCACUAAUGCUGAAUUACUCCCUUGAUUAAUGCAUAAUAUUAGCAUUGUCUUAGUGUUUCCGGGUUUUUUCUUUUUUUAUAAUAGUAGUUUUUCCGGUUUUCUGAUAUUAGUAGCUUUACCAAUCAAAGAUGCUAUCAAAUAUAG
rnacentral:lncRNA from 1 species